CCUUUCCUUCCUACAUUGCUUUAACAGUCAUUCCCUUAUUAAAUUCUUUUUAGUUUCGUCGCUCCAUAAAUGGUUUCUCCACUUUUUAGCAAAAUUUUGCCGCAAGGCUAUAUUUUUGACGCGUAAUUGGGACCUUUCUUUCUAUUCUCCAUGGAAGGUUGGCUUGUUUUAGCCGUCUACGGGUCGUUGGAGCACUAACUUAUAGUCCAAUUUCUGCUGCAGUAGCCUUUGACGACUUAAAUGGGUCCUUUUUCCUAAAAAAAAAAGUAUGUAGUGAUAAAUUGUUAUGUUUUUUUCUGUGGCUUUCGGCGAAUUUCCUGGCAAGGUUUUAAUUUUUAGAACAUUUAAACAAAAUUAUGAGAUUUUUUCAUUAAUUUGGCAAUGGCCCGAAGAGAUUUGAAUUCUUUUUUCAGACUAAGAUCCAAUCGGGCUUCUUCCUCUGUACAAUAAGACUUUCGGCCCAUUCUUAUCCACUAGAAACAACCGUUUCUACGUUUGGGUACAAAUUGUUCAAUUGCUGCUUUCCGGACAAACAUCAAGUGAUCGACACGAUAUCACAUCACGUGUAUUCAGGCAAAAAACUGGGUCCCUGAUGAACGCUUCUUUGGAGAUACUGGAUCCAUUCACUCGAAUGGCAAAAACGAGGCUUGCCACAUGCACACAUUCUAAUUUGCCGAUCCCGACCUACCUGAUGUCGCAAUUACAAAUAUGAUUCAUUGACCGAGUGACGCCAUCUAUCCCCAAUAAUCUUGCAUGGUCGACUGCAAGUUUUCCAAACGAUAUCCACGGAAAUUAGCGGAGGAUAUCGUCACUGGAACCGACGGUUAUCCACUGUAUCAGCGUCGGUCACCCGACGAAAACAGUCGAACUAUCACAAAAAGUGAAAAUAAUGGAUUUCGUUGUCGACAACAGUUGGAUUGUUAAGUGAACUGUAAGAUGAUAAAUGUUGUGCAUCUGGAGAAUGGUAAACGAGUUUCACGGCAUGAAAUGUUGUUCAACGUGCUGAAAUACCUCUAGCGACAGCAUUGACCAGUUUCUUUGCACUCGGAGAUUCCACGCUAUUAUACUUGGAAUGUUUCAUCGAAGAAAUUUCAACGACGGAAGUAUGGCAAUGCAGGUCCUGGUUAUCCGGAUGUGCGUUCUACUGAUGCUCUUGGUCAUAUGUAUACAGUUCAUCCAAAGAAUGAUGAAUGCUUUGAUUUGCGGUUGCUGCUGGUUUAUGUGCGUGGCACUUGCGUACGCACUGUGAAUGGAACAAUAUUCCCAACAUAUCGUGCUGCAUGUGAAGAACUCAAUUUAUUAGAACACGAUACACAGAGGGAUACGACAAUCGAGGAAGCUAUUAUCUCUGCAUUUCCAAGUCAAAUAUGCACAUUAUUUGCUUUGUGGCACAUAUACAAAUAUAAUAUGUCAGAAGAUAAUUUACAUCAAAAUCGAGUAAGUUCCAGAAAUCCCGAUCUUGAAAUGAAUGAGAAGAUACAUAAUCAAGCUUUACUAUUGAUCGAAUACAUGUGUUAGCUCAUAUUCGGUAGUUUAUUAGUCAGGCUAGGAAUGACAGCGCCAAAUCAUGAAUUGAAUGGGAAUUGGAAUGGGAACGUGAAUAUGAUAACCAGGAAUUGAAUUUAGCUUUUCAAACAAAUGCACCCCUGUUGAAUCCUCGACAAAAGGAAGUUUAUGAUACAUUAAUGAAGGCAAUUGAUGAAGAAAAGGGUGGUUUACGUCUAGAACGGAACUACUGCUUUUCACUACUUAAGAGGUAAAAAGUCCCGGUACAGACUCUCCCAAAACUCUGUGGGUGAGCGCAAGCCUUUAGCAACAAUGCCAAGUAUCUUGGCUUAAUCCUCGAUAGAAAGCUCGAUUAGAAACUGAGCAUAGAGGAUAGAAUAAAAAGGCCACAGUGGUCCUUUAUACAUGCUGGAAAGCAAUCGGACUAAAAUGGGGAAUGUACGCCCAAUCAUGCUCUAUAGAGUGGUAGUAUGGUGGCCAGCCCUAGACAAAGGAACUUAUCUCAACAGACUCAAUAGAGUUCAACGCAUGGUAGAGCUAUGCACAACUAGCAGGCUACGCACUUCUCCAUGGGAAGCCCUGAAUUACGUGCUGGACCACCUCCCCGUAAAUGUCAUGGGAAAGAAGGUUUCAACACUUUCCGCCCUCAGAAUUAGAGAAGCCAAAUUAUGGAAGGCAUCCGCGUUUGGGCACUCGGGAAUCCUGACGAGACCCCCUUUCGACCUUUCAACGCCUUUUCAGGUAUCAAUCCCACUUAGAGAGGACUGGGAGAUGGGCGAACCAGGACCUGCAAAUGCCGUCCACUUUUACACUGACGGUUCAAAGCUAGACAGCCGCGUGGGUGGUGGAGUCUACUGUAAAAAGCUAAACAUCAGUUACUGCUUCAGGCUGCCAGACGAAUUUAAUGUGUUCCAAACGGAGGUUGAGGCAAUCAGAGAGGCCAUUUCUAUUGUCUCCAAACUCCAAAGCAAGCAGCUAUUAAAGCACUAGGCUCAAUAUCGUCAAACUCGACGAUUGUAAAUGACUUCCGUAGGCCUCUAAACGAGAUCGCAGAGCAGUUAGAUCUCUUCUUUAUAUGGGUCCCCCUACCUCCUGCAAGGUCUCCAGAUCGAUAUGGCCAUUUCAGCAGAGCUGUAUAGACUCGGCAGAGCACAGUGCUCUGCAGUUACUCGAGCCAUCACGGGACACUGGCAGAUGGGCACUCACGCCUCUAGACUGCCAAUCCCUCAUAAUGACUUCUACAGGAGUUGUCACGACGCGGAAGAGGCGGAAUCAGUCCCCCACUUUUUCUGCCAUUGCCCGGCCCCUGGAAAAAUUGGCUUAAAUAUAACCAAUCAAGCUGAAAUUUUAGAGGAUGGAUUAUAUUUUAAUAUUUUAGAUCCCAAACAAAAUUCAAUCCGAUCACAGCGACAGUAUAGCUGCCAUAGGAACCAUUGGUCAAAUAUCGUAUUUUUUAACUUUGACCUCAAGGUACCGAACCCCUAAGCAUUGUCAAAUCAGCCUGUAACUUUAUAAUUUAUUAUACAUACAUAUACUUUUUGAUUUGAGGAUUUAAAU